rnacentral:rRNA from 1 species
AACGAACGCUGGCGGCAUGCCUAACACAUGCAAGUCGAACGAGACCUUCGGGUCUAGUGGCGCACGGGUGCGUAACGCGUGGGAACCUGCCCUUAGGUUCGGCAUAACUCCCCGAAAGGGGUGCUAAUACCGGAUAAUGUCUUCGGACCAAAGAUUUAUCGCCUUUGGAUGGGCCCGAGUUGGAUUAGCUAGUUGGUAGGGUAAAAGCCUACCAAGGCGACGAUCCAUAGCUGGUCUGAGAGGAUGAUCAGCCACACUGGGACUGGGACACGGCCCAGACUCCUACGGGAGGCAGCAGUGGGGAAUAUUGGACAAUGGGCGAAAGCCUGAUCCAGCAAUGCCGCGUGAGUGAUGAAGGCCUUAGGGUUGUAAAGCUCUUUUACCCGGGAUGAUAAUGACAGUACCGAGAGAAUAAGCUCCGGCUAACUCCGUG